rnacentral:tRNA from 1 species
GGGGAUUUAGCUCAGAGGCAUAAGCGCCUGCCUUGCAAGCAGGCAGUUGUGAGUUCAAUCCCCG